rnacentral:rRNA from 1 species
CCCUUAGAUGUUCUGGGCUGCACGCGCGCUACACUGAUGCAUUCAACGAGCCUAGCCUUGACCGAGAGGUCCGGGUAAUCUUUGAAACUGCAUCGUGAUGGGGCUAGAUUAUUGCAAUUAUUAAUCUUCAACGAGGAAUGCCUAGUAAGCGUGAUUCAUCAAAUCGCGUUGAUUACGUCCCUGCCCUUUGUACACACCGCCCGUCGCUCCUACCGAUUGAGUGUGUUGGUGAGGAGUUUGGAUUGGCCUCGGAAGGUGGUUCGCCACCGUCCGUAGCUGAGAAGUUCUCCAAACCGCCCCACUUAGAGGAAGGAGAAGUCGUAACA